rnacentral:ncRNA from 1 species
GGAUGGGGUAGAGGCGCGAAUUAUAAAUUAGUAACUUAAAGUUUAAUUUAAGCUUAAGAUUUUAAGUGAAAGGUUUAUUCGCCGAAGUGGUUAAUUGAGCUUAAGCAUUUAACUGCUGGGUCUGUAUAAAAUAUGUACAGAACUGUCAUUAAAAGUUUAAUCCAGACUUUUAGUGUUGAGCUAUCUCAAAA